rnacentral:rRNA from 1 species
UGGGGAAUAUUGGACAAUGGGGGGAACCCUGAUCCAGCCAUGCCGCGUGUGUGAAGAAGGCCUUAUGGUUGUAAAGCACUUUAAGCGAGGAGGAGGGUACUGGUAUUAAUACUACCAGGUACUGGACGUUACUCGCAGAAUAAGCACCGGCUAACUCUGUGCCAGCAGCCGCGGUAAUACAGAGGGUGCGAGCGUUAAUCGGAUUUACUGGGCGUAAAGCGUGCGUAGGCGGCUAAUUGAGUCGGAUGUGAAAUCCCCGAGCUUAACUUGGGAAGUGCAUUCGAUACUGGUUAGCUAGAGUGUGGGAGAGGAUGGUAGAAUUCCAGGUGUAGCGGUGAAAUGCGUAGAGAGCUGGAGGAAUACCGAUGGCGAAGGCAGCCAUCUGGCCUAACACUGACGCUGAGGUACGAAAGCAUGGGGAGCAAACAGG